UACGUAGGGGCCUAGCGUUGUCCGGAUUUAUUGGGCGUAAAGAGCUCGUAGGCGGUUCGGCAAGUCGGAUGUGAAAUCUCCACGCUCAACGUGGAGGGGCCAUUCGAAACUGCUGUGACUUGAGUCCGGUAGGGGGGUGUGGAAUUCCCGGUGUAGCGGUGAAAUGCGCAGAGAUCGGGAGGAACACCAGUGGCGAAGGCGGCUACAUGGACCAGCACUGACACUGAGGCACGAAAGCGUGGGGAGCAAACAGG
rnacentral:rRNA from 1 species